UACGUAGGGGGCAAGCGUUGUCCGGAUUUAUUGGGCGUAAAGAGCGUGUAGGCGGCCAUGUAGGUCCGUUGUGAAAACUCGAGGCUCAACCUCGAGACGCCGAUGGAAACCAUGUGGCUAGAGUCCGGAAGAGGAGAGUGGAAUUCCUGGUGUAGCGGUGAAAUGCGCAGAUAUCAGGAAGAACACCCGUGGCUAAGGCGGCUCUCUAGUACGGUACUGACGCUGAGAUGCGAAAGCGUGGGGAGCGAACAGG
rnacentral:rRNA from 1 species